UUGAACGCUGGCGGCAGGCCUAACACCUGCAAGUCGAGCGGAUGAAGGGAGCUUGCUCCUGGAUUCAGCGGCGGACGGGUGAGUAAUGCCUAGGAAUCUGCCUGGUAGUGGGGGAUAACGUCCGGAAACGGGCGCUAAUACUGCAUACGUCCUGAGGGAGAAAGUGGGGGAUCUUCGGACCUCACGCUAUCAGAUGAGCCUAGGUCGGAUUAGCUAGUUGGUGGGGUAAAGGCCUACCAAGGCGACGAUCCGUAACUGGUCUGAGAGGAUGAUCAGUCACACUGGAACUGAGACACGGUCCAGACUCCUACGGGAGGCAGCAGUGGGGAAUAUUGGACAAUGGGCGAAAGCCUGAUCCAGCCAUGCCGCGUGUGUGAAGAAGGUCUUCGGAUUGUAAAGCACUUUAAGUUGGGAGGAAGGGCAGUAAGUUAAUACCUUGCUGUUUUGACGUUACCAACAGAAUAAGCACCGGCUAACUUCGUG
rnacentral:rRNA from 1 species